UGCAUGUAUUGCAUAGAAUCACUUAUUGUAUUGUUUAGUCAUCUUGAUAUUCAAAUAGAUGAAUGUUACAUUCUUUUGUAUUUUGACCAUUCUAAUUGUUUGAUAAUAAAUAGUGAGAAGAUGUACCAUAACAAAGCGCCUACCGUUCAGAGGUCUACUUCUGGUACAAAACAUACUCGUAUGCAAACUUCUAAUCAAGCAUGCCAAAAUUCUGUAGCAAAUGGACUGAAUUCUAGUAGUACUGGUGUCACCACGAAAUGAACUACUACUGGGAUUAGAGUUAGUGCACGUCUUCAACAACAAAGUGCUAAUGAUCAGCCAGUGGUAAACACAAAAAAAGAAAAGGAUGAGACUCGGGAGCAAAGGAAAAAUGGGAUCAAAUGAUAAAGAUGAGAGCAGAUACCACUCAACCUGAUGGAACUCGAACAAUGACAGAUGAGGAAAUAUGUGCAAAAGUUCUCAAAGUCAAAUCAGGCUACAUUAAGGGUUGUGGUUUUGGCCCUAGACCACCACUAUUAAGGUUCUCUCCUUCUUCGAUGAGUGAAAUGUCUGAAAAGAAUAAAGAGUUGAAAGAACAUCUUCAAGAGACCCAACAACUUGUAGGAACUCAACAACAAAAUAUCGAUGCGCGAGGUAAUCCAAAGAUUGGAGGAGCAAGCCAAAAAGUUUAAGGAGUUUAUGGCUAAUUUUUUCAGGCAACAUCCAUCAGCUUAGUACUCUUAGUGAACUUAAACUUGGAGAAAUAUUUCUUUGAUCGUGUUGUAUUUGUUAUUGCUUUAGACUAGCAUUGUUACUUAUGGUAGAAACUUGUUUGCUUUAUUUAUUUUAAUUGUUUUGAUGUACUGUGGUGACAAUUGAUGACAAUUAUUUAUAUUUUGAGCUUUUU